UACGUAGGGUGCGAGCGUUGUCCGGAUUUAUUGGGCGUAAAGGGCUCGUAGGCGGCGUGUCGCGUCGGGAGUGAAAGACCGGGGCUUAACCCCGGUUCUGCUUCCGGUACGGGCAUGCUGGAGUGUGGCAGGGGAGACUGGAAUUCCUGGUGUAGCGGUGGAAUGCGCAGAUAUCAGGAGGAACACCGGUGGUGUAGACGGCUUUCUGGACCGUAACUGACGCUGAGACACGAAAGCGUGGGUAGCAAACAGG
rnacentral:rRNA from 1 species